UACAGAGGGUGCGAGCGUUAAUCGGAAUUACUGGGCGUAAAGCGUGCGUAGACGGUUAUUUAAGUCGGGUGUGAAAGCCCCGGGCUCAACCUGGGAAUUGCAUUCGAGACUGAAUAGCUAGGGUACGGUAGAGGGAAGCGGGAAUUUCCGGUGUAGCGGUGAAAUGCGUAGAUAUCGGAAGGAACAUCAGUGGCGAAAGCGGCUUCCUGGACCAGUACCGACGUUCAGGCACGAAAGCGUGGGGAGCAAACAGGA
rnacentral:rRNA from 1 species